AUUAAGUAAUACCCACUCUUCAAUUUCAAAAGAAUAUUACCUAUGCCUCUAACGUGACAUGAUUUAUUAUUUUCAAGUUUUACAAAACCUCCCUCAAGGUCAGAGAAGUCAAAAAACAAACUUUUAUUGGGGCUCAUGUAAAAGAAACAAACUGAAUCCAGAAUCCAGUUCUGAUUAGUCAUUUCAGUUGAAGAUACAUAAACAACUCCAAUAUUGGCCCCUGCUUCCUUACAAAAGACAGCCAUAGAUGAGGACCCAAUCUCAAAAUUAUGAUUAUUUUUCUGGUCAUUGGCUUUCUUAAAGCAAUCUUUAAUAAAAUGACCUGACUUUCCACAAUAGUACACUUUUUAUUCUUUGCCUUUACUUCACUAAACUUCUUAUCUUUUCCUUUAUUGUUUGUUCUUGCUCCAUUUCUUUUUAACAAGAUUUCUAUUCAUGUAAUGAUUAGAUUGGCUGAAAUUGCUCCCACCUUUAAUUUGAGGUUUUUGAUUUGCUGAGGCAUUUUCAACAUGAAAUACCUCAUUUUUUUCAGAUUUCAAUUCUAGCUCUUUAUUUAGAAGGGAUUUAUUAUUUAUUUCAAUAGUUAAAUCACUCCUGCUAUAUUCCAAGGCAUUUCUUAUGUCCUUAUAUUUGUCUCCUAGAGCAUUAAACCGACCAAUCAUCUUUUGCUCACUAGAGAUCUUUCCAUCACAAUUUAUGAGAUCUUGAGUGAUCCUAUUAAAUCUAUCAAUGCUUUCUUCUGUAUGAAGAUUAGGAUCAAACUUAAAACUAAUCAAUUGCCUCCAUAGAAAACAUU
rnacentral:lncRNA from 1 species